rnacentral:rRNA from 1 species
GACGAACGCUGGCGGCGUGCUUAACACAUGCAAGUCGAACGGAAAGGCCUCUUUCGGGGGGUACUCGAGUGGCGAACGGGUGAGUAACACGUGAGUAACCUGACCUUGACUUUGGGAUAACUUCAGGAAACUGGGGCUAAUACCGGAUAGGAGCUCCUGCUGCAUGGUGGGGGUUGGAAAGUUUCGGCGGUUGGGGAUGGACUCGCGGCUUAUCAGCUUGUUGGUGGGGUAGUGGCUUACCAAGGCUUUGACGGGUAGCCGGCCUGAGAGGGUGACCGGCCACAUUGGGACUGAGAUACGGCCCAGACUCCUACGGGAGGCAGCAGUGGGGAAUAUUGCACAAUGGGUGGAAGCCUGAUGCAGCAACGCCGUGUGCGGGAUGACGGCCUUCGGGUUGUAAACCGCUUUCGCCCAUGACGAAGCUUUGUGUGACGGUAGUGGGUAAAGAAGCACCGGCUAACUACGUG